UACGAAGGGGGCUAGCGUUGUUCGGAUUUACUGGGCGUAAAGCGCACGUAGGCGGAUCGUUAAGUCGGGGGUGAAAUCCUGGAGCUCAACUCCAGAACUGCCUUCGAUACUGGCGAUCUUGAGUCCGGAAGAGGUGAGUGGAACUCCUAGUGUAGAGGUGGAAUUCGUAGAUAUUAGGAAGAACACCAGUGGCGAAGGCGGCUCACUGGUCCGGUACUGACGCUGAGGUGCGAAAGCGUGGGGAGCAAAC
rnacentral:rRNA from 3 species